rnacentral:rRNA from 1 species
AUUGAACGCUGGCGGAAUGCUUUACACAUGCAAGUCGAGCGGCAGCGCGGGGGCAACCCUGGCGGCGAGCGGCGAACGGGUGAGUAACACAUCGGAACGUACCCAGCUGUGGGGGAUAGCCCGGCGAAAGCCGGAUUAAUACCGCAUACGACCUGAGGGUGAAAGGGGGGGGAUCGCAAGGCCUCUCGCACUUGGAGCGGCCGAUGGCGGAUUAGCUAGUUGGUGAGGUAAAGGCGCACCAAGGCGACGAUCCGUAGCUGGUCUGAGAGGACGACCAGCCACACUGGAACUGAGACACGGUCCAGACUCCUACGGGAGGCAGCAGUGGGGAAUUUUGGACAAUGGGGGCAACCCUGAUCCAGCCAUUCCGCGUGAGUGAAGAAGGCCUUCGGGUUGUAAAGCUCUUUCGGCAGGAACGAAACGGUGGAGGCUAAUACCUUUCAUCAAUGACGGUACCUGAAGAAGAAGCACCGGCUAACUACGUGCCAGCAGCCGCGGUAA